UGCACAAGAAAUCAGAGAGCUGACGUU
rnacentral:sRNA from 1 species